CGACGAAUCUUCUGCAAUGAGCGAAAGCUUGACAGAGCAAUGCCGCGUGUGGGAUGAAGCGUCUAUGACGUGUAAACCACUGUCAGGGGAUGGAACCAACGAUUAUCCCCAGAGGAAGGGCCGGCUAACCCUGUGCCAGCAGCCGCGGUAAUACAGGGGGCCCGAGCGUUACGCGGAAUCACUGGGCUUAAAGGGUGCGUAGGCGGUUCGGAAAGCAUUACGUGAAAGCCCCCGGCUCAACCGGGGAACUGCGCGAUGUACUACCGAACUUGAGACAGGUAAGCGACGAGGGAACAGUGGGUGGAGCGGUGAAAUGCGUAGAGAUCCACUGGAACGCCGAUGGUGAAGAUGCUCGUCUGGGCCUGUUCUGACGCUGAGGCACGAAAGCGUGGGGAGCAAA
rnacentral:rRNA from 1 species